AGAGUUUGAUCCUGGCUCAGAAUCAACGCUGGCGGCGUGCCUCAGACAUGCAAGUCGAACGCGAAAGCCCCCUUCGGGGGGCAAGUAGAGUGGCGCACGGGUGAGUAACACGUAGGUAAUCUACCUUUGGAUGGGGAAUAACCACCGGAAACGGUGGCUAAUACCGCAUAAUGCAGCGGCACCUAAUGGUGACAGUUGUUAAAGCGGGGGAUCGCAAGACCUCGCGUCUGAAGAGGAGCCUGCGGCAGAUUAGCUAGUUGGUAAGGUAAAGGCUUACCAAGGCGAUGAUCUGUAGCCGGCCUGAGAGGGCGGUCGGCCACACUGACACUGACAUACGGGUCAGACUCCUACGGGAGGCAGCAGUCGGGAAUUUUGGGCAAUGGGCGAAAGCCUGACCCAGCAACGCCGCGUGAAGGAUGAAAUCCCUCGGGAUGUAAACUUCGCAAGAACGGGAAGAAUAAGCCGGUGUCAACACCACCGGCGAUGACGGUACCGUUUGUAAGCUCCGGCUAACUCCGUGCCAGCAGCCGCGGUAAUACGGGGGGAGCAAGCGUUGUUCGGAUUUACUGGGCGUAAAGGGCGCGUAGGCGGGCUGUCAAGUCUGGGGUGAAAUCCCGCGGCUCAACCGUGGAACUGCCUUAGAUACUGACGGCCUC
rnacentral:rRNA from 1 species